UACGAAGGGGGCUAGCGUUGUUCGGAUUUACUGGGCGUAAAGCGCACGUAGGCGGAUCUUUAAGUCAGAGGUGAAAUCCCAAGGCUCAACCUUGGAACUGCCUUUGAUACUGGGGAUCUUGAGUCCGGGAGAGGUGAGUGGAACUGCGAGUGUAGAGGUGAAAUUCGUAGAUAUUCGCAAGAACACCAGUGGCGAAGGCGGCUCACUGGCCCGGGUACUGACGCUGAGGUGCGAAAGCGUGGGGAGCAAACAGG
rnacentral:rRNA from 1 species